GAUGAACGCUGGCGGCGUGCUUAACACAUGCAAGUCGAACGGAAAGGCUCCUGCUUGCAGGGGUACUCGAGUGGCGAACGGGUGAGUAACACGUGGGUGAUCUGCCCUGCACUUCGGGAUAAGCCUGGGAAACUGGGUCUAAUACCGGAUAGGACGAUGGUUUGGAUGCCAUUGUGGAAAGUUUUUCGGUGUGGGAUGAGCUCGCGGCCUAUCAGCUUGUUGGUGGGGUAAUGGCCUACCAAGGCGUCGACGGGUAGCCGGCCUGAGAGGGUGUACGGCCACAGUGGGACUGAGAUACGGCCCAGACUCCGACGGGAGGCAGCAGGGGGGAAUAUUGCACAAGGGGCGCAAGCCUGAUGCAGCGAGGCCGCGGGGGGGAUGACGGCCUUCGGGUUGUAAACUCCUUUCGCUAGGGACGAAGCGUUUUGUGACGGUACCUGGAGAAGAAGCACCGGCUAACUACGUG
rnacentral:rRNA from 1 species